rnacentral:rRNA from 1 species
GGCUCAGGGUGAACGCUAGCGGCAGGCCUAACACAUGCAAGUCGCGGGGCAGCACGGGUAGCAAUACCGUGGUGGCGACCGGCGCACGGGUGCGUAACGCGUAUGCAACCUGCCCCCAUCAGGGGAAUAGCCCGCCGAAAGGCGGAUUAAUGCCCCAUAGGCCCAGGGCGCCGCAUGGCGCUAUGGGUAAAGCUCCGGCGGAUGGGGAUGGGCAUGCGUGCCAUUAGCUAGUUGGGGCGGUAACGGCGCACCAAGGCGACGAUGGCUAGGGGGUCUGAGAGGAUGGUCCCCCACACUGGUACUGAGACACGGACCAGACUCCUACGGGAGGCAGCAGUGAGGAAUAUUGGUCAAUGGGCGGAAGCCUGAACCAGCCAUUGCCGCGUGCAGGAUGACGGCCCUACGGGUUGUAAACUGCUUUUCCCCGGGAAGAAUAAGCCCCUCGUGAGGGGUGAUGUCGGUACCGGGGGAAUAAGGAUCGGCUAACUCCGUGCCAGCCGCAGC